CAAGAAUAGGUUGAUAGGAGGUGAAAUUCAUGAACUGAAUAAGUGGAGAUAUUUCAGAAAAGGCCUUAUAAGCAUCCAUCUUAAGCACACAAUCAAAUGGGGUGGGAAUUCUUGGCGGAAAAGAUGUGGAUGUACGAGGCAAAAGGAAAGGCAAUUGCAGAGCCUCUUUGAAGUAAAAAGCAGCCCUCUUGAAGGGUUUGCCAAUGGGAGAGAGCUGUUGAUUGAGCCGCGCCAAUAUCAUUUGCGCGUUUGAGAAAUGUCCGGCCAGUAAUAAUUCAGAGGCCUGAAAAAUCUGGUCAUAAAUAAACUGUUGUUCCUGUUGUUGAUGACGAGGCACCAUCACAUUACCAUUACCACCACCAGCAGCUGCUUCAAGCUUAGGUACAAUUAAUUGGAAAAGAUGUGGAUGUACAAGGCAAAAGGAAAGGCAAUAGCAGAGCCUCUUUGAAGUAAAAAGCAGACCUCUUGAAGGGUUUGCCAAGGGGAGAGAGCUGUUGAUUGAGCCGCGCCAAUAUCAUUUGCGCGUUUGAGAAUUGUCCGGCCAGUAAUAAUUCAGAGGCCUGAAAAAUCUGGUCAUAAAUAAACUGUUGUUCCUGUUGUUGAUGACGAGGCACCAUCAAAUUAC
rnacentral:lncRNA from 1 species